GUCGGGAGUGGUAGUGUACUUCUGUAAUCCAACUACUCGAAGGUUGAGAGGAUGUUUUAGGGGGUGGGAGUUCUGGGAUUGGAUUUCCCACGUUGACUAAGCGUCCAACCUUUGAUUUGGAUCCCUUUGGGGAAGGGCGAAGUAGCCAGGCUGAAUGCAAAUAGAGGAAAAAUCGGCCCAAAAGUCACCGAGUUGAGAAUCGUGAGUUCAAAUCUAAGGGGUGGGAGUUUAAUUUCACCUCGUCCAAACAAGAACACACCUGUACCUU
rnacentral:SRP_RNA from 1 species